rnacentral:sRNA from 1 species
CACACACACACACACACCCCACAAAGUAAGGGGGGAGGCAGGGAAUGUGGGCUUUAGGCAAAGGAAAUCUUCAUUUCAUAGCUAUGAGGCAGACAGAGAAAGGCCUACAUUUAGGUUGGGGGAAAGAUAUGGUUUAUUGCUUGCUUCUGCUAUGAGUUUUAUUUAUGGAAUGAGUAUGUACUACACAGAGGAAAUACAGUAUUGAGUAUCAAAAGUUGAAAAGAAAGCCGAAUUCACAUAGUAAAGCUAAAAGAGAAAUUGAAGAAACAUUUCUUUUGUGAGUAUUUUCCCUCUGGCCAGCAUACAUGAACUAUCUAUACUUACUUUGAUUUUUAUAAAAUAUUUAUUUAGAAGACAGAGAAAUAUAAUUUCAAUGACCACAUUUUUGUACUUUCAAGACCGUAAUGAAGUUUGACUUUUUGUAUUCAGGGAGCUAGAUAUUGGAGUACAAGCGUGCUUUAUCACAUGUCUAAUUUACAAAUGUAGAGGAUGUGAUUGGAAGUUUGUUUAUUAGGCUCCCUAGACAUAAGCAAGAACCUAUACAGAAAGACAAUUUGGUAAAGACUGAAGCCCAGUGUGUGAACAUUUUUUUUUAAUUUCAUUAAUCUUGAUCUGGCUUACCCUCCCUUAGGAGAUCCUUUUUUGAAAAAAUGACAAUCUGGCACGGUAUUGAUACAUUUAAUUUUACUUCAGACUUGUUACAAUGUUUUACUCUAUAUUGUCACCAACUUUUUGCAGAUUACAUUUAGUUCAUUCCAGACAAACACUUCUAAAACUCUUUGAAGAUUGUUUUUAUUUAAACUUAUAAUUGCUUAAAACAAAGCAAGAGACUGCCCUUUUUGAGAAAUUGGAAAAGAAAAUGAUCACAUCUUAAUAUUUUAAACUCAAAAUUGUAAUAUUACACAUUUAGUAUUUUACUUGAGUUGACAUAAUGAACAGUUAAUGAAACUGUUAAUACAUUAAACACAAAGAAAUGAUGGAAAAUGCAACAGAAAGGGAGUUUCUUCCAAAUAUUUUCCUCUAAUUGCAAAAUUGGAAAUUAAGUUAAUCUAAAACUGUUCAAUGCAAGUGUCCUUAUAGUCAAGAUAGUUUUACCGAGUCUUCUAUGAUCACAGGCAGGGCAGAGAGGAAAAAAAAAGAAUCCAUCUGGAAGUGCAUUGAUGAUAAUAUGUAUUCAAGUUGGUACAUAUUUCACUCCAAAUAGGUGGGUACAUAAAAUAUAUUAGACGUCCAUAUAAAAAUUUGAUUUUUUUACAACAUGUAUUUUUUACUUUCUCAUUGGGAAAUUUGCAUGCAUUGAAAUAAUUUUAAUUUUGAUGAAUUGAUUCUGUGAGUAGCUAAUGUAGUCGGUUGUUUUUAAGGCUGAAAGCAUGUUGGAGAAUUAGGUUAACAAAGGGUGAAGGAGAAGAUCAUUACAGGUUUUGAUGCUGACCGAGAUGGGCUGCUGAGGUUGUACAGCUGUGCCUAAAGGGCGGGGUUCCCGUACAUUCCUACUUCAGCAGAUAACCUGUCCCCAGCUUCUACCAGACACAUGGAAAUCUCCAAAGGAAAAUCUGCACAGUCCUUCUAAGAAGCAGGGUAGGUAAACAUUGAAUUUUAAAUUUCCCCCUCACUAUACUUCUACUCAAGGCCAGAUCCUGGAGUUACAAAAAGUACAGUGGUCAUCUAGAUUCUCUUUCACAACAAUAUGUCUGAAUUCUCCCUCCUGUAAGAGUUAAAAGGUAUCAGCGAUCUUCCAGAUAGCUGGAAAAUCCAUUUUCGAUUUUCUUUUGCUUCCAGUUCCACUCUUUUCUCUCACCCCAAUUGUUCUGCCUUACCAUUCUGGAACUCUUUCCCUGACCACCAAUAGUUAAAACUAAGCUAUCUUUUAGUUUACAACUCCUAAAUUGACCCUGUUCCUCACUCAGUUCUUGAAGACCUUGUCCAGGGAAUGUAGGCCCAGGGGCUCUGGGCUGCGGAAUAUAUGACGUAGUGUUAUGUUUUGUCUUCCUCCCUCCCGAUUUGGUGCCCCUACCCCACCCCCCAAUCCAAGGUUCUGCUCGACGUUGUUGGAAGGCUGCUGAGGACUUGAGAACUGUGAACACUCUCACCAGGAGAUCGGGCUAAAGACUUUCAAAGACGAUCUGGGACAUUAUCAUCGCUUGUAAUCAAAAAGAAAAUAUUGCCCGUGAUAUUCUAUUUCUAAAAUUUAAUGGACCAUUUGAAUUGUCUACCCGUACAUUAGUAAAGCGUGAACUUUCAAGCAUGGAACUUUCAGGGCUGCUGAGAACUGUCUGGAACUCUCGAGUCCCUUUUUCUAAAAGUUAUUUUUGUAAAUUGCUGUAACAGUGGCUCAUCAGUCACUCUGAAAGGAAGUGAUCCUUGAUUAACAGUUGGCUGACACCAAGCUCCACAGAUGUGUAGCAACAGUACAGGUGCGACUUACAAAACAAGACAGAGCUUUACUCCUCCUUGGUACAAGGAAGGCUGGCAUGAUCAUCCACUUCACAUUAGAGGGUGUCUUAUCCACCAGUGUGCUGACACCAAGCAGGAAUUUCCAAGUAGAGAGCAGACUCCCUGUAGUCACAUGUCCCUGGUGAAAAUUGCUUCAUCAUUCUUCAGAAGGAAAAAAAUAAAAAGAAGAAGCAGAUUCUCUUCAGAAUCCUCUAUUCUCAGAAUGACUAGACAGAACUUUAUGCCAAAAUUCUUGCUCAUCUUCCUAUCUUCUAGUUCCAUAAAUAAAAAUAAAAUGUUAAUAAAUGGA